CUUAAUAUGUAAAUUGUGAUUUUUUUCAGAUAUAAAGAUUCAUACCAUGAAAUUUGUACCAUGAAAAAAUUUAGAAAUGAUUCUGUUUUGAGGCAUUCAAAUUCUUUAGAAUUUUAGAAUCUUUCAAAAGAUAUUUCAGACCCAGCUUUUUUACUUUUUUAAUCAUGCUCUCCUCAUGCUUUUGAUUUUCAAGUUCUCAUAAAAAAUUGCAUAGAUCAUCAGAUUAAUGGCCAUAGACUUCUCAGAACAAUGCACAAAUAUGAUUUUGGGGAGAAGUUGUUAAAAAAAAUUACAAUAUAUAUCUUGGUAUUUUUACUGAUUUCCUCUUUAAGGUAAAAAUAUUUCCCAGUAAAAGUCCAUGGCUUUAUAGCAGAUGUUAUAUUCAAGACAUUAAUUUUUAUUAUGGGGGUUAUAUUUUAAAAAGUGAAAUAUUGAUGGAAAAUAUGAACUGCUUAACAUAUAUAUAUAUGUUGCAGUUGCAUAAGAAAUAUUUUAUCAAUGAUUCCCCCUCAUCCACACAAAGUAGGAAUAAAUCGUUGACUAAAUACAUAUGCUAAAUGAAGUCUAGAGGAAAAUACCGUGAGGUUUGAGAAUGUACUCAAGGAGAAGCAGGUACAUAUUUCCUGAAACCACGAUAGAUACAGAGGCUUUUGAAUUAAAUUUAAUUGAAUAUUAACAAUUUGAAUAUAUAACCUAUUAAGAAAUCAUCUAUUUGAUGCUAAUUGUUUAGUUUGUGGAAUCUUCUGGCCUUCACUUAUUUUCCCUCUCACUACUAGAAUUUUUAUCAGUACCUUAAUCAAAGGGGGAACAAGGGCGAGAAAAUGCUAUAAUUUUAAUGUUUUUGGAGUCAAAAUUGUCUUUUAGCCUACAUUUUACAGAGUUCAGCUUGCUGCCAUUAGCAUGAGUUUACAUGAACAGUACCUCACUGAAACAAUGAUUUCCUUGGGCAAUCAGAUCUAGGUUUCUUGUGUGCCUUCUUUUUCCUUUUAGAUUGGAUAAAUGAGAAUUAACAGUAUUAUAGACAUGGCAUUUCUUCCUGGUAAGCUAUAAUCACUAUAAAGUGACUAUAUAAUACAGAUUUUUGAGUAUUAUUUGCACUGAAACUUUAAAAAAUUACCAUCUUAACAUUUCUUCAGAUAAAAUGUAUUUAUAGUGGUUGUAUCAUAGGGGAUAUCAAAUUGUAGAAUUGCCAUGUAUCAGUGGCUGUAACAAAGUAUGGUAGAUUAAAUACUAUUUAAUGCCAUUCUGGAGGUGAGUAAUCUGUGCAGGAGAGGUAGUUCUAAGCCAAGUGAUUAUUCAACAGCCUGGAUCGUAUCUAUCCUACUGCUCCCGUUAGGGAAUUAGCCUCAUUGGCAUGGUUGAAACUGUCAGUGCCAUGUGCACAUCCCAAAGGGACAGGAGAGGAAAUUAAGGAAAAACAGCAUCAUGUGCAUUGGUGAGAACUUUUGUGGACACAGCUAGCAGAGUGGGAGACUAGGGAAUGGCUCUGGCUGGCUGGCUCCCUUCUAGUAAUAUGGAGGAAGGGAGAACUUUGGAAGACAUAUUAAUAACCUAAUGUAGUCCAUUGUCUUGGCUUAAUGUUAUAAAAUACCCUGAAGUGUGGUGCAAGAAGAUAGAUCCUUCCCUUCCUCCUCACUUCAAAUAUUUGUUGACUACCUAUUGUGUACCAGACAGAAAAAUGAAAGUUUGAAGUGAAUAUAAGUGGAGAUCUAUUAUUAUGCCAAAGCUGUGUCCAUUUAGAAAAUUGUAUAUACUUUUAUAUACUUAACAUUAAUUGUUCUGAGUAGUGUCAUUUGGGGCCAUAUUUAAGUUUCUCCAGACUAUGACUACACAUGUUCAGAUUUUGUCUAGAAUGAUCCUCCUUUUAAAAACCUGACCUGUUCAGUGCAUUCAAAGCUCAAUG